rnacentral:lncRNA from 1 species
CCUAGGUCAAGCUACUACCAUAAAUCCCAACAAAAUAUUUAGCCCAUGUUAAAUAAAGGAUAAUAAAGGAGAAUAUUCAUCCAAUGUAUUACAAAUAUGGCUAAAUAAUGGAGAAAAUAAAAAGAUAUAGAUAAAACCCUUUUUUGUAGAUUGGCUAUGAUUUUUCCCAAAUGCUUUGCCAAAUCCUUGAUGUAAUCUCCUUGUUGCUCUAUGUUGUAUCUCCAAAAUAACCAAGAAAAAGAAAAGGAAAAGAAAAGAAAAGAAAAUGAAAGCAAAAUAAAAAAAAAAAUAAAAAAAAAGGAAAAAACCCAGCAGAAAACGGAACCCAGCAGAAGAUCGAACUGAAGAACUGCAAAUAAAAACUCAGCUGCUGGUUUUAUAUUAGAAACUAGGAAAAUUUCAGCCUUGGUCCCUGAAGUUUCAAAAGUUAACAAAAAGGUCCCCAACUCAUUUUUUCUUUUAAAAUGGGCGCCGUGGUGCUGGAAUAGUGGCGCCGCAGCGCCUAGUUCUCUGUCCAAAACCAUGGUUUUCUUUUUGCAGCCAAGUUUCAAACAUUGCAUGCUAGUUCCUCUACUUUGAUUUUGUACAAUUUGGUCCUCAAAUUUUGACUUCCACUUCAAUUUUGCCCUCCAUAAAUUGCAUCCCAAAUCCUCCACUUUUUGACUUGUUUGCCUUGGCCUCCAACUUCACAAUUUUGUACAAUUUUAGUCAUUUUUCCCCUUUUGCCUUGUUCUCUUUUCUUUGGGUGAUUUUUACCUACAAAAGCAAAUAUUACUUAACUAUGAGUAGAAUUUCAUUCUUUUUACCAAUAAUUAUAUCAAAUUAAGUGUCCAAUAAGUGUGCAAAAACACACUUAUUACACCCCCCAAACUUAAACUCUUACUCGUCUCGAGCAAGAUUAUCUACCACACAAUAAAGUAAAAGUGAUCAUGGUCAACACAGUAAAUAGCUUACCAAAAAUAUCAACGAGUGUAAAAUUGUAUAAUCAAUUCACAAAUAUGCUCCAAAUAAUGCUAACAAAAAUAAUUUGAGUUUAUCCAAUGUUCGAUCGGUGUAUAUGUGUAAAGUCACUUUCAAUUAUCAUCUAAAUUAGGAAAAUUUUGUCAAGACAGAAAAAUCUUCAAAUUGGCUCCAACCCAACCCUUUGUGGUUAAAUAUUUCCUUUCCCACUCGUGAAAUUUACACUCCUCAAAUAGAUAUUCAUUUCUUUCCCCCGGGGUGUAAAUAUAAGGCCGCUCUCAAUUCACUCAUUUCUUUUCCCGCUCUAGUUCGGUUGGAUCUAACCAGUAAUAUCAAUCUCUAGUUAUGCGAUGAUUCUCUACUAAUGAGUGCUUUCACAUUCAAGUUUAUACUAAGCAAUUCAAACCCACUAGUUAUCUAAGCCCAAAUAUCAAUAUCAUUUUUUUUUCUCUUUUUUUUUUCUUUUUAGCCGAAUCCCAUGUUUUACCUCAUUCCCUUAAGCUUUCUUCUUGACCCUUGUAGCAAGCUUUAGGUCGAUAACUCCCCGGUUGUUUAGGCUAAAGGGUACCGGGUUUCAAAAUACCCCUACGAACUUAAUAACUCAAGUAAAAAAGGCUACGAAGUGAGGCCCAAGAUUCAACAAGUACAAUAACUCCAUUUUUUUUAACACGACAAAAAUGGGGCUUAGAUCCUUAGCAUACGGUCAUUACCUAGCUUAUACUCGGCAACAAACACUCUACACAAAUAUUUUCAACAUGCACGAAAUCACACACUUCUAGAUAAUCUUCUUCACCGGCUCACCACCUCAAACUUAUCUCACAAUAUGAUAAAGUGAAAGAAAAGAGAAUACAGAUUGAUAAAAAUUUCCAAACAACUCACAAGUCACAACCUAGUUCAAGCAAUUCAAAAAUAUAUCCUUCAAUCAAAAAAUUUUCACAUCUAGAUAACAAUUAAUCAUGACUGUUGUGCCCAAAGUAAUUCAAAAUCUCACAAUAGAUAAACAAUUUUUUUAUUUUUUUUGGAAAAAAUUACGCACAAAUAGCAUAUUUGGUCAUAUGUGCAUAACUCAUGAAUCAAUAACAAUUUCAAACAUCAAAACCAUGCAAAGCCGACAAGGCUAUCUAACAUAUCAACAUAAUAUCACCAAUUCAAGCACAAUCACCCCCAAACUUAAACCACACAUUGUCCUCAAUGUGUAAAAAACAAGAUAAAGAGGAGAGGGAUAACGAAACUUCCCCGAUUAGAUUUUUUUUUGAAGGAUGUUGUAGAUGAAUUUUUGGUUUAUGACUUAGGGGACCAUGCACCCCCAAAUUUGUUGAGAUCUAUGGGUGGCUAGGACUUCAAAAAUCUUGACCUACAAAAGAAUUGUAUUAAUUCAAAAUGUAAUAACAAAAGUAUUAAUCACAAGUAACAUAAACAAAAGUGUAAGGAUAAGAAAGUCGGGUUGCAUCCCAAAAAGCGCUUGGUUAUAGUCCCUAGCUCAACUAUAGGCCUUGUUCACUCCAAAUUGGCAAGAGGAAUGGAGGACUUCUCCUUAGAAAAAUCACCUUCAAAGUAUGGUUUCAAUCAUUGCCCGUUAACCUUGAAGUUUCCCUUUUCCUCAUGAUGAAGUUCAAUUGCUCCAUGUCGAAAAAUCUUAGCAAUGGUAAAAGGACCAGACCAUCUUGAGCGGAGCUUUCCGAGAAACAAUCGGAGUCGAGAAUUGUAGAGAAGAACUUGUUGCCCAACAAAGAACUCGCAUUUCACAAUGUAUUUAUCAUGCCAUUUCUUUGUCUCUUAUUUGUAAAUUUGAGCAUUCUCAUAAGAGUCAAGGCGGACUUCAUCCAGUUCAUUCAAUUGGAGCAAUCUUUUCUCACUGGCCAAUUUCACAUCAAAAUUCAAAGCUUUUACUGCCCAAUAAGCUCGAUGCUCAAGUUCUACUGGGAGGUGGCAAGCUUUUCCAAACAAAAGACGAUAGGGAGACAUACCAAUGGAAAUUUUGAACUCGGUACAAUAAGCCCAUAAUGCGUCAUCCAAUUUCUUGGACCAAUCUUUUCUAGAGGCACUCACCAUCAAUUCAAGAAUCCUCUUCAACUCCCAAUUCGAAAUUUCAACUUGGCCACUAGUUUGGGGAUGAUAGGGAGUGGCUACACAAUACUUUACUCCAUAUUUGGUCAAUACUGAGUCGAAGCAGCGAUUACAAAAAUGUUUACCUCCAUAAUGAUAGCUCGGGGGGGUGCCAUAGCGAGACAAAAUAUUUUUCUUUAAAAAGUUUACUACUACCCGAGCGUAGUAGGUAAAGUCACCGCUUCUACCCACUUUGACACAUAAUCAACCGCUACUAAUAUGUAUUGAUUUGAGAAUGAAGGAGGAAAAGGUCCCAUAAAAUCAAUACCCCAUACAUAAAAAAAUUCCAUCUUUAAUAUAAAAUUCAAAGGCAUUUCGUUUCGGUUGGAAAUAUUACCAUUGCGUUGGCAUUUGUCGCACUUGGAGACAAGAGUGUGAGCAUCUUUGAAUAAUGUAGGCCAAUAAAAACUGGAUUGAAGUACCUUUGAUGCAUUUUGCACGGCCCCGAAGUGACCAACAUAGGGUGAAGAAUGACAUUGUUCAAGGAUUUGCUCCAUUUCAUCUUUCGCAUACAUCUCCGAAUAAUUUGAUCUGGGCUCUGUUUGAACAACAAUGGAUCAUUCCAAAAAUAAUACUUGAUGUCGGCAAAGAACUUCUUCCUUUGUUGGUAAGAGAGAUCCGCGGGAAUGAUGCCACUAGCAAGAAAGUUCACAUGAUCCGCAUACUAUGGUAUAUGGGUGGCUUGCAGGAGAUGCAUAAUUUGCAAGAGUUGUUCAUCGGGAAAUACCUCAUUUAUCUCCCCAUCCAUCGCCUCUUUGGUUUGCUCAAGUCGAGACAGAUGAUCAGCAACAACAUUUUCGAUCCCUUUUUUAUCGUGAAUUUCCAAGUCAAACUCUUGUAGAAGAAGGACCCAUCUAAUUAACCGAGGUUUGGCAUCUAUCUUUGCUAGCAAAUACUUGAGGGCUGAGUGGUCCGUGUAAACAAUCACUUUCGAUCCAAUGAGGUAAGAUCGAAAUUUAUCAAAUGCAAAUACCACUGCGAGCAUCUCUUUUUCAGUAAUGGCAUAGUUCAGUUGAGCAUUAGUCAAAGUCCGGCUAGCAUAGUAAAUAACAUGCAAGAUUUUAUUUUUCCUUUGCCCCAAAACUGCCCCAACGGCAUAAUUGCUUGUAUCGAACAUAAGCUCAAAUGGUAAAUUCGAAUCCGGAGCUACAAUGAUAGGAGCCGUGAUGAGUUUCUCUUUAAGAGUGUUAAAAGCAUGGAGGCACUCUUGAGAGAAAUCAAAUGGAGUGUUCUUCUCAAGUAAGGAGCAAAGUGGAUUUGUGAUCUUCGAAAAGUCCAUGAUAAACCUCCUAUAAAAUUCGGCAUGUCCCAAAAAACUCCUUAUCCCUUUCACCGAGGUAGGUAGAGGUAAUUUCUCAAUGACUUGGAUUUUUGCCUUGUCAACCUCUAUCCCUUUACGUGAAAUCCGAUGGCCGAGAACUAUGCCUUCCUGGACCAUCAAAUGAUAUUUUUUUCAAUUAAGUACUAAAUUUGUCUCCUCACAUCUUUUCAACACUAUCUCUAAAUUGCUCAAACAUCCGUCAAAUGAGGCCCCAAAUACCGAGAAGUCAUCCAUAAAAACCUCAAUACAUUUCUCCACCAUGUCAGAGAAUAUAGCCAUCAUACACCUUUUGGAAAGUGGUGGGUGCGUUGCAAAGGCCAAAGGGCAUCUUUCUAUAUGCAAAUGUACCAUAUGGGCAUGUGAAGGUGGUUUUCUCUUGAUCCUCUGGGGCUAUAGGAAUUUGAUUAUAGCCUGAAUACCCAUCCAAAAAACAAUAAUGAGAAUACCCUACUAAUCGCUCAAGCAUUUGAUUAAUAAAAGGAAGAGGAAAGUGAUCCUUCCUUGUAGUCUUAUUAAGCUUGCGGUAAUCUAUGCAUACCCUCCAACCGAUCACGGGUCUAGUAGGUAUAAGCUCAUUAUCCCCAUUUUCCACAAUCGUGACACCUCCUUUCUUUGGCACCUCUUAAACGGGGCUCACCCAUGCACUAUCUGAAAUCGGAUAAAUAAUGCCUGCAUCAAGCCACUUUACCGCCUCGACUCUUACCACUUCUUUCAUGUUGGGGUUCAACUGCCUUUGAUGCUCCACUAAUGAUUUGAAAUCAUCCUCCAUAAGGAUUUUGUGCAUGCAUAGCGAAGGACUAAUUCCCUUAAUGUCUGUAAUAGUCCAACCAAUGGCUCCCUUGUACUCCCUUAACACCUGAAGUAACUUCUCUUCCUCCAAUUCAUUUAAGAAAUUAGCAAUGAUAACCGGAAGCAUAGAUGACUCUCCCAAAUAAGCAUACCUCAAAUGAGAUGGAAGAGGCUUCAAAUCAAGUAUAGGUGCCUGCUGAAGAAAUGGCAGUGGUGGUGAAGAGCUCUUUUCCAAGUCCUCAUAAUUUGGUGCUCUCUUAUAAGACCGAGAAGGUGUAGCCUCCAAAUAGUGUACUAUAUGCUCAACUUUAGGGUCUUCCUCUUUGAUAGCCAAAGGAUAAACAAGACUUGCUUCUAGAGGAUCCUCAGAAAGCCUAUAAAAAGACUCGGCAACCACAUGAUCAACAACAUCCACUCGAAGGCAUGAAUCAGAUUUCGAUGGAUACUUGAUGGCCUUCAAGAUAUUGAAUGUAACCUUUUCAUCUUGGACUCUUAGAAUGAGCUGCCCCUCUUGCACAUCAAUUAAAGCUCGACCGGUGGCAAGAAAUGGUCGUCCUAAAAUAAUAGGGAUAUCAUGACCCUCUUCCAUGUCAAGAAUUAUGAAAUCGGCUGAAAAUAUGAAUUUGUCCACCUUGACUAAUACAUCCUCAAUGACACCCCGAGGAUAUUUAAUUGAUCGAUCAGCCAAUUGUAAUGAUACAGUGGUGGCCUUAGCUUCUCCCAAUCCCAGCUUCCUGAAAAUAGACAAAGGCAUCAAACUAAUAGUGGCACCAAGCUCACAUAAAGCUUUACUAAAAUUUAAAUCUCCAAUAGUGCAUGGAAUAGUAAAACUCACUGGAUCUUUCAUUUUCAGUGGUAACUUCUUUUGAAGGAUAGCACUACACUCUUUCGUUAGCAUUACUGUCUCAUGUUCUUCGAGUUUCCUUUUGUUUGAAAGAAUGUCCUUCAUAAAUUUGGCAUAACUCGGCAUUUGAGCUAAUACAUCAGCAAAUGGAAUGUUUAUGUGUAGCUUCUUGAAUACCUCCAAAAAUUUUCCAAAUUGAGCAUCCAAUUUCUGUUUGUGAAGCCUUUGUGGGAAGGAAAUAGGAGGCACAUAGGCUUUGACCGGUAUUGGAGCCUUUGAUGUUGAUGGCUCCGAUUCUUCUUCAAUUAGUGUCUCAUCUUUUGGACCAGGUUCUUACAUAAUCCUUUCUUCUUCAAUGGGUACCUUGUCGGUUUGACCCUUAGGGCGUGUCACCGUGAUUUCGGGCAAUUGCACCCCACUUCUAGUGGUAAUAGCUUGUACAUUCUCCCUUAGAUUUGUUUCGGUGUUGCUAGGCGAUGCCCCCUAUUGCCUUUCGGAGAUAAGCUUGGCAAUUUGACCCACUUGACGUUCCAAGUUUUUCAAUGCCAUUGCUUUCUUGAUAUUAUAAUUGAUGGUUUGCCAACUUAGCAAUAACCUCUUCCCAACCUUCUUUUUUCUCUUGUGGCUUUUUUUUUUUUUUUUUAAGCAAAUACCACUAGUGUGGUUUAUUUUAUAUAAUGAAAAGCGGGAAAACAAAUAGAGGAGGGGGGCAUGGACCUGACCUCCAGCAAAUGUAAAAUGUAACAAAUAUUUGAAGAUAAAAUGCAAUCACAGUAAACAAGACACGAACAAAAACAAAUGAAAGGUACUCAAGGGUAUUCCCGAGGAUAAUUUUUUCUCUUGUGGCUUCGGGUUGAGCACAUUUUGAUUAUUUCCAUAAGAAAAGUUUGGAUGAUUUUCCCAACCAGGGUUAUAAGUUUACGAAUAAGGAUUGUACCCUUGGCGUUGAAAGUUUUGAGUAUAUGCUACUUGCUCAGUAGAUGCUGAACCACUACCUAUCAAUGGACAACUCGGGCUUGGGUGAUUUGCUCCACAAAUAUCACAAAUAGGAGGAGAUUGUACCAUAUGAGUGGAAUGAGAGCUUGAGGUAGAUGUAGAAAGUCCUUCUACCUUCUUUGCUAGUGAGUCGAUCUUUGCUAGAACCAUUAAGAAAGCUUCACCAUCUCGAAUUCCACCAACCCCUCUUUGUGAACCUCUAUUCGACCACAUAGCACUUUGUUCACUCAUGACCUUAAAUAGAUCAUAUGCUUCCCGAAUAUUCUUCUUCUUGAUUGAGCCAUUAGAUGAUGAAUCCACAUUUGAACGACAAGAAGGAGUCAACCCGGCAUAAAAAUGAUUCACUUGUUGCCCCAUUGUGAUUCCAUGAUUUGGACAUUUUCGAAGCAUAUCCUUGAACCUUUCCCAAGCCUCGUGAAAGCUCUCAAAUUCGGAUUGUUGGAAAGUGGUUAUGUCAUGUUUGAGUUUGGCUACUCAGGCGGGUGGAAAGAAUUUGGUUGUGAAUUUUUGAAUAAAUUCCAACCAACUAUUUAUACUUCCGGGCGGUAGAGUCUCAAGCCAUUCUCUUGCCUUAUCCUUCAAUGUGUGAACAAAUAACCUUAUCCGGAUCGUCUCCACAUUUACGCCUUCAUAUUUAAAAUUUUCAACGUUCUCUAUGAAUCGUGCAACAAGUGAGUGAGGAUUCUCAUCAAUCCUUCCAUAGAAUGGAAUGAUAUUGGAGAACAAACUAAUAACAUCUGGAUGAAGUUGAAAGUUUGGAUGUCAAUAUGGAGGGUAGACAAUACUUGAUUCAUUCUCUACUACGGGUGGGUUCAUGAAGUUCCCAAACAGCAUAUUUUCCUCAUUUACAAUAGGCUUUUGAGCUCUACCCGCUUGGUUACCAAAACCCGGUGGAAUGUCGCCUCGAGGAACAUUUUUCGGUUGAGCAUUAUGUUCCAAAUUACCCCCUUGGAGUGCCAUCUCAAUCAAAUGUUGCCUUCUCAAUUCCCUUUGUUCCUGUCACCUUCUUUGGAAAGUUUUUUUAAUAUCCGGAUCAAACUCGAAAAGAUCAAAACUUCUCGAACGAAGCAUGCACCACCAAAGACCUAAGGUUAAAAGUUAAUUACACAAUAAAUAUAUAAAAGUUAUGCAAAAGAAAAAGAGAACGAAACUUGUAAAAAUUAGAAUCAACAAAAGAUGAUAAUUGAAAUAAAACAUUCACCAGCAAUGGCGCCAAAAAUCUUGUUCGCUAAAAUCAUACCGCAAGUGCACGGGUCCCGUUCAAGGAAUAAAAUGGAACUUUGAAGUCCAAGUUGUCGAUCCCUCGAUGAAUGUUUACUUUAAAUGACACAACUUUAAUUAAUUUAAUUCUAACAAUGAAAAUAAACAAACACACAACAAAUAGUUGAUUUUAGAAACUAAAGAAAAAAAUACAAAAUAGGAAAAUAUGGAAAUCUUGGGAAUUUUGGAGGAAAACGUGAUUGGGAUUCAUGGUUUCGCUUAGUCGUUGCAUAAUUAAUUUCUCCAUAUGCCAAUUAAUGAAUUAUUCAUUUAUGAUGUUAGACCCGAUUUUUCAAUUUUAGCUAAUUACCUCUCUCGAGUGAAAUUAACCCUAAUUGAUUGGUUUAUCCUACUAUAUCUCUAUGUCGAUUACAACUAAACAACAGCAUUAAAUUGUUAUGAAAAUAGCUCAUUGGGUCACCUAGGGCUAGAGAUAUAUAUCUAUCAUCUACACAAAUCUAGAGUGUCUACCAUUUGGUCUAAAAUACACAAUCUUCUCUCGAACUAUGUACACUUCACGAAUCAUAUUCAUUCAUUGGUCACAUAAAUGAAAAUGCAAUAAAUACAAUAAUAGAAACACAUGGAAAUGGGCAAUUUAAUAUCCAAUAGCAAAUAUUGAAAAUCAAUUAAACCUAGGUCAAGCUACUACCAUAAAUCCCAACAAAAUACUUAGCCCAUGUUAAAUAAAUGAUAAUCAAGGAGAAUAUUCAUCCAAUGUAUUACAAAUAUGGCUAAAUAAUGAAGAAAAUACAAAGAUAUAGAUAAAACCCUUUUUUGUAGAUUGACUAUGAUUUUCCCCAAAUGCUUUGCCAAAUCCUUGAUGUAAUCUCCUUGUUGAUCUAUGUUAUAUCUCCAAAAUAACCAAGAAAAAGAAAAGAAAAUGAAAGCCAAAAAAAAAAAAAAAAUGGAAGAACCCAGCAGAAAAAGGAACCCAGCAGAAGAUCGAACUGAAGACUGCAAAUGAAAACUCAGCUGCUGGUUUUAUAUUAAACCCUAGGAAAAUUGCAGCCUUGGUCCCUAAAGUUUCAAAAGUAAACAAAAAGGUCCCCAACUCAUUUUUUCUUUUAAAAUGGGCACCGCGGUGCCUGGCUCUCUGUCCAAAACCAUGAAAAUGGUUUUCUUUUUGCAGCCAAGUUUCAAAUAUUGCAUGCUAGUCCCUCAACUUUAAUUUUGUACAAUUUGUUCCUCGUAUUUUGACUUCCAUUUCGAUUUUGCCCUCCAUAAAUUGCAUCUCAAAUCCUCCACUUUUUGACUUGUUUGCCUUGGCCUCCAACUUCACAAUUUUGUACAAUUUUAGUCAUUUUUCCUCAUUUUUCUUACUUUUGCCUUGUUCUCU